rnacentral:rRNA from 1 species
GUGGGGAAUAUUGCACAAUGGGGGAAACCCUGAUGCAGCAACGCCGCGUGAGUGAAGAAGUAUUUCGGUAUGUAAAGCUCUAUCAGCAGGGAAGAAGAAGGACGGUACCUGACUAAGAAGCCCCGGCUAACUACGUGCCAGCAGCCGCGGUAAUACGUAGGGGGCGAGCGUUAUCCGGAUUUACUGGGUGUAAAGGGAGCGUAGACGGUUUUUCAAGUCUGAAGUGAAAGCCCGCGGCUCAACUGCGGAACGGCUUUGGAAACUGAGGGACUAGAGUGCUGGAGGGGCAGGCGGAAUUCCUGGUGUAGCGGUGAAAUGCGUAGAUAUCAGGAGGAACACCGGUGGCGAAGGCGGCCUGCUGGACAGUAACUGACGUUGAGGCUCGAAAGCGUGGGGAGCAAACAGG